CUGUUAUUGUCAGGAUUACUGUUUGAUCCAGCACGUAGAACUGUACAGCACGGAUGACAAAUAAGUAACGUAUUACCGGUCCUUAGAAUGGCCGGAUUUAACGUACAAAGAAUAGUCAAAAAUACUAGCCGAGGUCAGGGAACACAGAAAGGGACACAGCGAUGAGGAAAGCCAGGAGUCAGGAUACCAGAAUAUAGAGAAGUCAAUAAACAAAGCCAAAGUCAAAAACCAGGUAGAAAACUAUAAACAGGAACGCGC